rfam:Oesophagostomum dentatum strain OD-Hann O_dentatum-1.0_Cont24986.1, whole genome shotgun sequence.
CCAACGGCCCUCUUUAGGGCCACAUAAUUCUAUCGAGUACUGUCAA